AAAUGCAAAUCAAAACGCACAAAGAGCUUUUGGUAUCUGGCAUCCAUCAGGAUGGCGAUUGUUAAAAGAACAAAGAAGAAAAGAGAAGGAAAAACAAAAGAAGUUGUCUAGAGCUAUGGCGUGGGGGUCAUAUGCCUGGUGUUCCUGAGGGUGGCAUGCAGGAGAGACUUGGAACUCUGGUGGUGGUGUUUCGAUAUGGCCUUGGGGCGGCGCAGAAGAGGAUGUACGGAUGGCAGUUUGCGUGUUUCACUGGCUAAGGCCCCAGCCAGCUCAGCAGACAACUUAGGCUCUAAAUUUGUUUUGCACUCCGCACAAAGCUACAUAUGUCACGAAGAGAUGCUCGUGCUCACAGGAGAGCAGACUGUCUGCAGAGCCAUAGAAACUCAAAACAGAGAGCAGCAAGCCUUCUGGUUGCUUUUAAGAUUCUGGAAACCAAUCAUGAUAAAAGUCAAUAGAAUCGUUUUGUAGAGUUACCCACAUUAAGCUUGGACCUGAGUCAACCACGCAGCAGAGGCAACCACCCAACGGUACUCCCCGCACCUGUGCUUAAGCUUUUAUGGUAUCAGGUGCCCCUGGGAUGGACCCCAACAUAAGAGAGAUGCCUGCUCCAAUAUAAGAAACUAUUUGGAACAAGACUUCCAUUUUGAGUUAAUAUUCAACAAACAGAAUAAUUAUUUUAAGAUAUAUUCAUUUUUAUGUCUUCAUCUUCACUUCUGGUUUUAUUAAUUUGGACACUGUCUCUGUGUCCUCUGGUUAGUCUGGCUAAGAGUCUAUCUAUCUUGUUGAUUUGCUCAAAGAACCAGCUCCUGGUUUGGUUGAUUCUUUGUUUAGUUCUUUUUCUUUCUAUUUGGUUGAUUUCAGCCCUGGGUUUGAUGAUUUCCUGCAGUCUACUUCUCUUGGGUAUAUUUGCUUCUUUUUAUUCUAGAGCUUUCGGGUGUACUGUCAGGCUGCUAGUGAAAGCUCUCUUCAGUUUCUUUUUGGAGGCACUCAGAGCUAUGAGUUUUCCUCUUAGGACUGCUUUCAUUGUGUCCCAUAAGUUUUCUUA